rnacentral:rRNA from 1 species
GCCCUUAGAGUUUGAUCCUGGCUCAGGAUGAACGCUGGCGGUAUGCUUUACACAUGCAAGUCGUACGAGAGUUUUUAACUCAAGUGGCGGACGGGUGAGUAACACGUAAGAAUUUGCCUUUAGGAGGGGGAUAACAACUGGAAACGGUUGCUAAUACCCCAUAUGCUUUCGAGUAAAAUGGAUUUUCCGCCUAAAGAGAAGCUUGCGGCUGAUUAGCUUGUUGGUGAGGUAAUGGCUCACCAAGGCGACGAUCAGUAUCUGGUUUGAGAGGACGAUCAGACACACUGGAACUGAGACACGGUCCAGACUCCUACGGGAGGCAGCAGUGGGGAAUUUUCCGCAAUGGGCGAAAGCCUGACGGAGCAAUACCGCGUGAGGGAUGACGGCCUAUGGGUUGUAAACCUCUUUUUUCAGGGAGGAAUCAAUGACGUGUACCUGAAGAAUAAGCAUCGGCUAACUCCGUGCCAGCAGCCGCGGUAAGACGGAGGAUGCAAGUGUUAUCCGGAAUCACUGGGCGUAAAGCGUCUGUAGGUGGUCAAAUAAGUCAACUGUUAAAUCUUGAGGCUCAACCUCAAAAUCGCAGUCGAAACUAUUCGACUAGAGUAUAGUAGGGGUAAAGGGAAUUUCCAGUGGAGCGGUGAAAUGCGUAGAGAUUGGAAAGAACACCGAUGGCGAAGGCACUUUACUGGGCUAUUACUAACACUGAGAGACGAAAGCUAGGGUAGCAAAUGGGAUUAGAUACCCCAGUAGUCCUAGCCGUAAACAAUGGAUACUAGAUGUUGAACAGAUCGACCUGUGCAGUAUCAAAGCUAACGCGUUAAGUAUCCCGCCUGGGAAGUAUGCUCGCAAGAGUGAAACUCAAAUGAAUUGACGGGGAAGGGCGAAUUCUGC